GAUGAGAACGCAGCGAAAUGCGAUAAGUAAUGCGAAUUGCAGAAUCCGUGAGUCAUCGAAUCUUUGAACGCACAUUGCGCCCCCUGGUAUUCCGGGGGGCAUGCCUGUCCGAGCGUCAUUACAACCCUCAAGCUCAGCUUGGUGUUGGGCCCCGCCGCCCCGGCGGGCCCUAAAGUCAGUGGCGGUGCCGUCCGGCUCCGAGCGUAGUAAUUCUUCUCGCUCUGGAGGUCCGGUCGUGUGCUCGCCAGCAACCCCCAAUUUUUUUCAGGUUGACCUCGGAUCAGGUAGGGAUACCCGCUGAACUUAAGCAUAUCAAUAAGCGGAGGA
rnacentral:misc_RNA from 1 species